AGGUUACUCAUCUUCCCAGCAUCCCUGGCGCCCUGGUUCAUCUCCGCCUCCUCCUCCAGCAGCUCAGAUUCUGUACCAUCCCAGGAGAGCAGGGGUAGAGGUGAGGAGAGGGAGGUGAGGAGAGGGAGCAGGUGAGGGAGCAGGUGAGGGAGCGAGGAGAGGGAGCAGGUGAGGGAGCGAGGAGAGGGAGCGAGGUGAGGAGAGGGAGGUAAGGAGAGGGAGUGAGCUGAUGGGAGUGGAGGCUGCAGCAGUGACACUUUGUUUCAGGGUAACAAAGUGUCACUGCUGGGAACUCAUUGAUUUAGUCCAGG